CGGCACGUUGAGGCUGGACCUGGCCCAGUACUUCGAGCUGCAGAGCUUCGCCCAGUUCGGGAGCGACCUGGACGAGUCCACCCAGAGGACCCUGGCCCGCGGCGAGCGCACCAUGAACAUGCUGCAGCAGAAAGAGCACGACGUCGUGCCGGUCGAGGAGCAGGUCGUCGCGAUCUACGCGGUCACCAACGGCCUCGUAGAUGAAAUCGAGGCGGAUAACAUCCCCGACUGGGAACAGCAGUUCAGGGAGCACAUGAGGAACAGCCACGAGGAUCUCCUCAACAGCAUCCGGGAGUCGCAGGAGCUCUCCGACGAGGACGAAGAGAGCCUCAAGGAUGCCAUCGAGAAGUUCAACGAGAACUACGAGCCCCAGAGCACGAGUAUCGU
rnacentral:misc_RNA from 1 species